CAAUCUAAGAAUACAUCAGAAUGGAAGUAACUCAGCAAGGGAGCCUCUGACACCAGGUGCUUUGACAGUACCCGCAGUUCUUCCUUCUUCCUCUCCAGCUGGUUAGAGAGCUCCAUCUCUGCCAGUCGCUGCUGAUUGAGAAGAAUCAAAUCCCUGGUCACGUCAUGAGGUGCAAUGUCUGCAAUAUGCAUCUGUCGCUCCUCCAGCUCAUGUAAAGUGCGGAGUAAAGGUGAGCAGAGAUAGAGCAUGCACUGCAGAGACUCCAUCCAGAUCAUCUGGCCUCUCAGCUCUAGCAUUGGCCGCUGUUUCCAUGACUCAGGCAUCAUUUCUCUCUUGGUCUGGAAAACAAAUUGGCUGUUGAUAAAUUUCUGAAUGCUAGAG
rnacentral:lncRNA from 1 species